rnacentral:rRNA from 1 species
UACGUAGGGUGCAAGCGUUAAUCGGAAUACUGGGCGUAAAGCGUGCGCAGGCGGUGAUGUAAGACAGGUGUGAAAUCCCCGGGCUUAACCUGGGAACUGCAUUUGUGACUGCAUCGCUGGAGUGCGGCAGAGGGGGAUGGAAUUCCGCGUGUAGCAGUGAAAUGCGUAGAUAUGCGGAGGAACACCGAUGGCGAAGGCAAUCCCCUGGGCCUGCACUGACGCUCAUGCACGAAAGCGUGGGAGCAAACAGGAUUGAGA